GGGAGAUCGAGAGCCAAAGAGCCAGGCGGGCAUUCAUGGGGACCUCACCGCGAAGAUCUUCCGAUCAAAAGGAGACUUUUCUGCUUCUGAUCCAUAUUUAGUGGACCUUGAAUUUGAACUUGAUGCCCUAAGAGACAAGACCACGUGGGGUUCUGCAGUUUGCUUGCAGGGGCCCCUUAUUCAAGCACAUCACGAAAACAUGAGACUUUCCACAUCUGUGUUCACUGCACAGCCCACCUGCCACCACAUGGACAGCAAAAAGGUAACCCAGAAGAGCGCUGAUUAUCAGAAGGCACGCCAGUGACUGUUCAAAGCCAGCUGUGUGUCGCCACCACGCUGCCGGAAGAUGGGGAAGGCCAGCGUGGGUACCUGCCGGCAUUACACCUGCAGAGGUCACGUUCUCGGUGACUCUGGGUUUCUCACUGCAGCUGCUUCUCGGACUCUCAGCCACCUCCCUUGCGUUGAACACAACGAAACGUUUUAGAGUGCGUGGCUCCGGAGGCUGCCCGCCGCAGAUCACAGCGCCGGCACGUUCCGUACCCAGUGAAGCCCCGCUUCCUGGCUCAAGGACAGCCACCUUCUCGCCGUGUCCUGCCGGAGGAAGUUGCGUGGAGUCUACAAUUCAGAGCAGCAAGUUAAAAAGAAAAAAAGGCAAGAGGACUCCUCCCGGAAAGAUGGGCCAUCCAUGAGUGCGCGGCUUGUCACUGAAGUUUGGCAAAGCCAGAUUGUCGCCGGUCGGAGCAGCACUGCCCUUUCUCUGGCACCAGUUUUGCAAACUUUCCGUUUGAAAACCAGAGGGAUGACCGACUUUGCGGAUAAAGACAUGAAUCUCCUGGCACGCGUGA